AGGGUUUGAUCCUGGCUCAGAUUGAACGCUGGCGGCAUGCCUAACACAUGCAAGUCGAACGGUAACAGAUAAGAUGAUCUCUUCGGAGUGAAUCUUUGCUGACGAGUGGCGGACGGGUGAGUAAUGCUUGGGAAUCUGCCCAAUAGUGGGGGAAAACUCGGGGAAACCCGGGCUAAUACCGCAUAAUCUCUACGGAGGAAAGAGGGCCUCUACAUGUAAGCUCUCGCUAAUGGAUGAGCCCAAGUCAGAUUAGCUAGUUGGUAAGGUAAUGGCUUACCAAGGCUACGAUCUGUAGCUGGUCUGAGAGGAUGAUCAGCCACACUGGGACUGAGACACGGCCCAGACUCCUACGGGAGGCAGCAGUGGGGAAUAUUGCACAAUGGGCGCAAGCCUGAUGCAGCAAUGCCGCGUGUGUGAAGAAGGCUCUAGGGUUGUAAAGCACUUUCAAUAGAGAAGAAAAGCUUGAAAUUAAUAAUUUCAAGCCUUGACGUAAUCUAUACAAGAAGCACCGGCUAAUUCCGUGCCAGCAGCCGCGGUAAUACGGGAGGUGCGAGCGUUAAUCGGAAUUACUGGGCGUAAAGCGAGCGUAGGCUGUUAAUUAAGUCGAAUGUGAAAUCCCCGGGCUCAACCUGGGAACUGCAUUCGAAACUAUUUAACUAGAGUAUGGGAGAGGAAAGUAGAAUUUCCGGUGUAGCG
rnacentral:rRNA from 1 species